UUAUAUUUCAUUUUUUCUCAUUCGUCUUUCACAACCCUAAAGAAACAUAGUUGCAGCUCUGUCUCCCUCCUAUCGCCACCGCCAAGAUCCUUCCUCAGUUCCACAAAAUCUCACCAAUCGACAAUCAUACACUCGAUCUAAGAUCUUUGUUACCUAUCAAUCAAGAUUGUUGUUUUUCAGCCCAAUUCCAAGCACAGCCAGGUAUGUCGAGGUCUUUUGUUUAUCUCAGUUUGUUUUUUUUGUUUUUUUUUUGUUACUGAUCGAUUUCUAGGGUUUCUGGAAUAAAUCUAUUGAUCGAUUUCUAGGGUUUCUGUCAUAAAUCGAUUUCUAGGGUUUUUGACAUAAAAUGGUUUGGAUAAAAUAUUGUGGAAAAUGAUGAUGACAUAACUAAAUGCAAAAAGAGUAAUUCUACUGGUUCCGGAUCGAAAAAGUGGAUGUUCUGGUCUUUGCUGAGGCGGAGCAAUAGCGAAGGUAAGGAGUCGAUGGUGUUGAAGAAGGUGGAUAGUCCGAAGCAAAAGCGGAAUUUGGGUGAGGGUUUUGCACAGAUUGGCGAACGAUUGUCGUGUUGAUAAGCUGGUAUAAUCUGUUUGAAGUGCUAUCAUAAUAGGUCCAAUCUGCGACUAGGAGGGAUCUAAGGCAUGGCUAAUUAGGAUUAUGAUACAUACAUUAUCAAAUGGUUACCAGAAUGCCUUAGCAUUAUUGGAUAUCUACGAAUAAUAGGAAUAUAUAGUGAGUAUGGAAUGCUCCUACAUGUAUCUUUAUUGUAUCUAACUAUUUACUCAUGGGUUAUGCAGCAACUGAUAGUAUUCUUUGUUAUAGGUAGGCUAUAGUGCUUUUACUCAGAGGAAUUAAAUCCAAUAAAUUGUUAAUGAUAUCAAAUGUGGUGGUACUAUUCUUCAAACUCCACGAGUAGGCCAUGAUGCUAACAAGAUAGUAUAAUUGGAGGCGAUGACACUCAAAAAGGGGUGGCUGACAUUUUAAAGGCGAUUGAUUGUUUAACAAUCAUAUUUGUUUUCGGUUGUUUUUUGAGUUCCAAAAUUAAUAUAUAGCAGGGUUUAAGAUUUUUUUUUCUCAAAUUGUCCGGUUAUUUCAACAUUUUUGCUGGAAACUCUAAAAUUGCUUAAGAACAAAUGGAAAGAAUAGCGGUGGAAUAUUGCAAGGCAGCUGGGUCGGUCUUCUCACGCGUGUCCAGGCGUUUCCUUUCCUUCAUGGUGUGGAGAGAUAUGCUUAUAGAGAGAGAGAGAUAGACAAGGAAGACGGCAUCACGAAUGGUGAGGUAAACCUACAAACACUAAUUGAUUUAAAAAAAAAGUUAAGUGGACUUUAUGAUUUUUGAUAUUACUUUUCUUAAUCUUACAACAUAUAUAUCUUUUUUAAAUCAAUUAUGCAAAAACAACAGUUUUUUGUUAAAGAUGAAGUAACUAGGCAUUUUCAUUUUGUUCGUGCAGUUAAGUGAUUUAAUCAAAGCGAACUCCAAAUAUAUUUUAGAAAUUAUAACAACAUUAACAGGUGUCUAUUGUGUCAUAAUAUGAAAUCCUUACUAAUGUAGCCAUCCUAUCGUACUUUUGUCGCGGGAUGACCCGAUUUAAGAUAUUCACCAUUUAUUGUAAUUUACCAUGUGAUGGUACUAAUCUUAGUAUGGGUGAUAAGAUUCCUACUGUUCACGCCUUUUUAUUUGCUUAUUACUUUUAUUAUUUUUUAUUUCUUUUGUUUACGAGACCCAAAUAUUGUUGGGUAUAUGCCAAAGUGUUUUAUGAUGUUGCUUUUUUUACUCUUUUUCCCUGUGUAGGUUAAUUUUUUUAAUCAAAUAAUACGAUAACAACACAUAUAUUGGCAUACAUUAAGACGUCCUUCAAUUUGGACAUUUUUUUCACUCUUUUACAAUAGGUAGAAUAUGUAUUUUUAUAACCUUUUUUUUCAUUUGAGGUAUAAAAAAAUUCUGCUGGAGUGGCGAGAGACAUAUCUUCAAAAGAUAUACAAAUGAACAGUACCUGGACUGACUAAAGAUUACCGAAUAGGUGAAUUCACCUGAUAUAAUUCAAAGUACAAAAUGAUGGUAAAACAAUUUUUUUGUAUCAUAAAUGGGCUUUAGUUAAGUUUUUUAUUUAAUUAUUAAUGGCUCAACACUUGGUUAUCCUAUUUUUUUUUUCUCAUGAAAGAAUUGACUCAUCAUUCAUGAAUCUAGCAAAUGACAUGUUGACACAAGACUAGAAAUAACAAGAACAUCUUAAGUGAUGUUAAUCUGAGAGGAGGAGUUCAUAUUUAUUUUGUGUUGUCAACGAAGAGCUUUAUCAUGAUGUAGAUUAUCUCUUUUCCAGCUUGAGCUACUAUCAAUUAUGGAGAAGUUGCGAGACAUAUGGUACAAAGGAUCUAGGAAUCAACAAAGUAAGGGUUAUACAAUGGUUUCGGGUGUUUGGCGACAGGGAGAAUGUUGGGCGUUGGAGCAUGUUUCGGUACCUACGAGUUAUUGACGACUUUCUAUAAAGACGGCCGUAAAGACAACUAGGUGUACAUCUCUAAAGCUCUCACAGCAGGAAUCGUAGCAAGUGGUGUGGUGUCACACCCCCAAAAUCCACCUGCGGAUAACACCCGCUUCGAGGGCGUGACUGACCAGGAUCCAGCCACCAAUUAUACUGAGCAUUUAAUUAAUAGUAGAAAUAUUUAAUAUCCGAAGUAAUUAAUCAACAUUAGAGUUUAGAUUCGGUAAUUGGUUUAACAAAACAGCGGAAGCAUAAACCAAAACAGUUUUAAAGACAGUUCAUUGAUCAAAACAGUUAUCCCAACACACGGGUUUGACG